AAUGAACGUUGGCGGCGUGGAUUAGGCAUGCAAGUCGCGCGACAAGGAACCUUCGGGUUCUGGAGGAGCGGCAAACGGGGUAGUAAGGCAUCGGAACGUACCCUCUUGUUGGGAAUAGCCGCGGGAAACUGCGAGUAAUGCCCAAUAAUCCCUACGGGGCAAAGGUCCGCCGCAGGAGGAGCGGCCGAUGUGAUACCAGCUAGUUGGUGAGGUAAUGGCUCACCAAGGCUUAGACGUCUAGGGGGUGUGAGAGCAUGGCCCCCACCACUGGGACUGAGAUACUGCCCACGACACCUACGGGUGGCUGCAGUCGAGAAUCUUCGGCAAUGGGCGCAAGCCUGACCGAGCAACGCCGCGUGCGGGA
rnacentral:rRNA from 1 species